rnacentral:rRNA from 1 species
CACGUAGGGUGCGAGCGUUGUCCGGAAUUAUUGGGCGUAAAGAGCUCGUAGGCGGUGUGUCGCGUCGGCUGUGAAAACCCGGGGCUCAACCCCGGGCCUGCAGUCGAUACGGGCAGACUAGAGUGCGGUAGGGGAGACUGGAAUUCCUGGUGUAGCGGUGAAAUGCGCAGAUAUCAGGAGGAACACCGGUGGCGAAGGCGGGUCUCUGGGCCGUAACUGACGCUGAGGAGCGAAAGCGUGGGAGCGAAUAGG